rnacentral:rRNA from 1 species
GAUGAACGCUGGCGGCGUGCCUAAUACAUGCAAGUCGAGCGAACAGACGAGGAGCUUGCUCCUCUGACGUUAGCGGCGGACGGGUGAGUAACACGUGGAUAACCUACCUAUAAGACUGGGAUAACUUCGGGAAACCGGAUCUAAUACCGGAGAAUAUAUUGAACCGCAUGGUUCAAUAGUGAAAGACGGCUUUGCUGUCACUUAUAGAUGAAUCCGCGCCGCAUUAGCUAGUUGGUAAGGUAACGGCUUACCAAGGCAACGAUGCGUAGCCGACCUGAGAGGGUGAUCGGCCACACUGGAACUGAGACACGGUCCAGACUCCUACGGGAGGCAGCAGUAGGGAAUCUUCCGCAAUGGGCGAAAGCCUGACGGAGCAACGCCGCGUGAGUGAUGAAGGUCUUCGGAUCGUAAAACUCUGUUAUUAGGGAAGAACAAAUGUGUAAGUAACUAUGCACGUCUUGACGGUACCUAAUCAGAAAGCCACGGCUAACUACGUG